AUUGAACGCUGGCGGCAUGCCUUACACAUGCAAGUCGAACGGCAGCACGGGAGCAAUCCUGGUGGCGAGUGGCGAACGGGUGAGUAAUAUAUCGGAACGUGCCCGGUCGUGGGGGAUAACGUAGCGAAAGCUACGCUAAUACCGCAUACGAUCUACGGAUGAAAGCGGGGGAUCGCAAGACCUCGCGCGAUUGGAGCGGCCGAUAUCAGAUUAGGUAGUUGGUGAGGUAAAGGCUCACCAAGCCGACGAUCUGUAGCUGGUCUGAGAGGAUGAUCAGCCACACUGGGACUGAGACACGGCCCAGACUCUACGGAGGCAGCAGUGGGGAAUUUUCCACAAUGGGCGAAAGGACCUGAUGGAGCAAUACCGACGUGAGGGAUGAAGGAUCGUGGUCUGUAAACCUC
rnacentral:rRNA from 1 species